rfam:Schistosoma rodhaini strain Burundi genome assembly, scaffold: SROB_scaffold0004860
AUCCAAUCGACCACGAGUCCAAAAUAGGACGAAACGCGCGUCCUGGAU